AAUUGUGAUUUAGAUAAAGUUAAGAAAAAAUAUUUGUUUUUUUGACAGAUGUCUGCAGACCUAAGCGACCUACACUAUGGCGGCUUCCAUGCCACGAUAUUCUGUGAAUCAGUAGGAUGUGAUUCAGGAGGCAUUCAUUAUGUAAUGAACGACAUGGCAUUUCCUGUCUGAUUUCUAUCCUGAGUUUUCUGGGACACAAGAGCCCAGAGACAUGCUGAGCAAAACUUCACAAACUAUUGCACUAUGCUCUUUUGCCAACUUCAUCAACUCGGCAGAUCGAGUUAUAAUGCCGAUCGCCAUCGUUCCGAUGACAGAUGAGUAUCGAUGGGACCUUCAUGGACAGGGCUGGGUACUCAGUUCAUUUGCUGUCGGAUAUAUGAGCAGCCAGGUGAUUGGUGGAAGUGGGGCUAAGAAGUAUGGAGGAAAGACUAUCCUCACCAUUGCAGUCCUCCUCUGGUCUUUCUCCACAUUCCUUGUCCCUUUCUUCGCUCAUUCUAUCAACGCUCUCAUUAUGUCACGAGUUUUACUCGGCUUGGGAGAGGGACUAGGUUUACCCACAAUUUUCCACAUAUUUUCACAUGCAAUACCGAGUGAGGAGCGAUCGCGGGCCUUUGCUUACCUGGUGGCAUUUGGUUCCAUUGGUCAGACUAUGGCAUCUGUUAUUUGCCCCCACCUGUCUUGGCAGUGGAUGUUUUAUUUGUUUGGCUCCCUAGGAGUUCUCUGGGUGAUAUUGUGGACAAUUGUCUAUAAGGAAGUGAGGGGGCCUUUUGAGGAGGAGUUUGUAGAACCACCAAAGGUGAACAAUACUAAUGUAUCGUGGAGCGCCUUCCUGUGCCAUUGGCCGCUCUGGUCCACAUACAUUGCCCACUUCAGCAUGAACUGGUCCAACUAUAUCAUCAUGCAGUGGCUUCCUACAUACAUGACCCGAAGUCUCGGGGCCGACCAGAGUCACAUCAUGUUCACCGCUGUGCCUUACUUAAUGAACUCUGUUGUAGGAAUGGUUGCUGGCCAUUAUGCCGAUUCCUUAAUUACUCGCCAUAAGUGGACGAUCCUGUCAGUCCGACGCCUGAUGACCAGUAUCGGACUCCUGGGACCGGGACUAUUUAUUUUAUUUUUCAGUGCUGUAAAUAAUUUACCUCUUGCAGUUAUAUUUGUUUCCAUAUCACUUGGUCUGAGUGCAUGUAACUCUUCGGGGCAUCUUAGUAACCACGCUGAGAUAGCUCCAAACCACGCUGGCAUUACAUUCGCCAUAUCAAAUACACUAGCUACUAUCCCUGGCAUUCUGUGCGGUCCUCUGACAGCUGAGCUGGUGAUGCAGAGCCACGGACGCUGGUUUCCUGUCUUCAUCAUCGCAGCUGGGGUCAACUUCGUUGGUGCCAUCAUUUAUUUGAGCCAGAGUGCAGCUAGCCAAAUUUUAUAGCCCACACUUCUGUCUUAUACUUGGACCAAUGAUGCUUUAAAGAUUGUUGUGGUAUCCAGAUUGACAGAUACAAAGUAUUCUCAAAAGCUGGAUUUAAUUUCUUUAAGCCAAUGUUGGUGAGAGAAUUCAAGAAUUUUUAAUCAUGGAUGAACUACUGGAAGAUGUUUAAAAAGUAUUUAUAUAGGAAAAAUGUUUAAAUUGUUCUUUUAGUGAUUGAGAAUAUAUAACAAAAGUUUCAACAAUCCCCUAAAACUGUUGCUACUUCAGGCUCUAUAGGAAUAAAUCUUGAAGAGGAAGUCUUAUGGAAGAGCAUGAAGUUGUAAAUGUAUUAGAGGAUUUUCACAUUGAAACAUUUGUUUUGUUGUUAUAUAUACAGAAUAUGAGUGAGAUUCAAUUUCAUUGCUAGUCAUCGUUUGUAUAUUUAAUAAAAAGUCUUCUUAUGUGUAAAGACUGGUACGUAUAAUAUCAAUCUAUAUACAGCUAGAUGUAUUAAGAAAACAAUGCUUAUCUCAGUCAUCCAAAAUGUAGAUGAGUUUACGUUGUGGCCUAUCGUCCGUCAGUCAGUAUGACAUUAAAAAUUACUCGUGUAGAACAUUAAAAAAAGUUGAUGUGAUACAUGAAGUAUAAUUUGGUUAAUGGAACUAAGAGUGUUGCCGUAUCCUGUCAUGUUUUCAUAACUGUGAUAACGUAGCCUUAAUAAGAGAUGUUAAAUAUGUAAUGUCUCAGUUGUCAUUCGGAACGAAAGAGACAGGAUAAGAUUAUUCGUACUACCUAUCAUCAUGUAAUGUAUUCGAUAUAACAAAACAGGUGAGCUGUUUGGACCCAGGUCUUUUGCCUCUGAACAAUAAUGUAUUCCAAGCCCUUAAAAUCUGGUUAAACUUUCACUAUCAGUAUCUAAAUUCGUUAGAAUGUGCAGACAUUUAAAAUGAUUGUUUUACAGUCUGUAUAUUAUAAAAAUAGUAAUAAAUAGCUUAUUGUUAUCCUGUAGAUUAUAUGAAGUACAACACCAAUAUCUAAAAUAUGUACAUUAAACUGAUAAAGAUAACAUUUUUAUACUCAAAUAAUGUUUUUCACUCAUCCUGAUGUCCUCUAUAAAUGAAGAACUUGUGAGCAGAAGUAGAAUGAUUAAAAUUUUCUAACUUGAUUUGUCAUGAACACUUGAGUAUCAAUAUUUGAGUGUCUGUUACUGCAGAACAGUAAAGAAAUUUAACCAGAAUACUCGAUCAUUUAUCUGUAGAAGGAUACGAAGCGUCUGUGAUAUUUAGCAACGUGGUUGCAGUCAUAUGUUCUCCAUUGAUGAAAGGCCAAUAUAUUUUUUUUAAUUAUUGUAUGUGUGUGAGCUUUGGAGAAUAUUUCUCAGCUGUGUGCUUUAUGAGAUUCUCAUCGUAUUUAUUUUUUAGUUUAUUGGAUUUGAGAUAUUUACAUGUUGUACAAAAGAAUUAUCUUGCUAUGCCUUUCAUUGGUAAUUAUGAUUAAUGUGUUACAGAGUGAACAAGUAUGUAUUUGAAUAAGAGUAUACAAGUGUUGUAACUGAUGCAUGUUCUAUUUUUGCCUGAUACUUGUUUUUGUCUUUUUAAGCAUUAAUUGUGAUACCAUAUUUCCUGUAAAAUUUCUCUAUAAGUCAUGAUUAUAUGCUGGGCAUGCAAAACGUCAUUAAUAUGGGUAGGAGAUUCUUAUAAGACAGACAUGUGAUGGAUUUAUUGAAUUUCGGAACAGGGUAAGUACACCCCUAGAGUAAUUAGUUCGGGACUGUUAGAACAGGGUAAGUACACCCCUAGAGUAAUUAGUUCGGGACUGUUAGAACAGGGUAAGUACACCCCUAGAGUAAUUAGUUCGGGACUGUUAGAACAGGGUAUGUACACCCCUAGAGUAAUUAGUUCAGGACUGUUAGAACAGGGUAUGUACACCCCUAGAGUAAUUAGUUCGGGACUGUUAGAACAGGGUAAGUACAACCCUAGAGUAAUUAGUUCGGGACUGUUAGAACAGGGUAAGUACAACCCUAGAGUAAUUAGUUUGGGACUGUUAGAACAGGGUAAGUAGAAUUUACUAGAAACCUAUUAAGGAAUUUCAAGAUUGUUAGAACAAGGUAAGAAGACCCCUAGAGUAAAAAAUUCGGGACUGUUAGAACAGGGUAAGAAGACCCAUAUAGAGUAACAAAUUUUUGGACUGUUAGAAUGGGGUAAAUUUACCCCAAAUUGUCAAUCCCCAUUCGGAACAGUUUGAGGUUAGAUGCUUUUUCACAUUUUAUGUAGGACCAAUAUGCAUAAGAACAUGAUUUGACUCAUUAAAUCAGUUUUUUCUUUGGCUAAGACUUAUAUUUGGAUGUUUUGAAAUGCAACUUCAUGCCAAUAACUUGCAUACAUAAAUGUUUGAUAAAGAUGAACAAAGAUAAUAUGAUGGUUAUAAGGUAUAAUGCGCACAGUAAAAUAUUAAAUUUUAAAGGAAACAACAAUGAUAGCAACAACAUUGCUGUUUGGUGAGAUAGCUAACUGGUUCUGUAUACUGAUCAUGUAAGAAGCCUGGGCCAUCAAAGUAUAACCUUCUGACUUAUUGGAGGAGUGUAGCUUAUUACAGGAUAAUUAAAAAACAUGUUGGUGUUUCUGUUAAACUGUAAAAUAUGGGUGGGCUUAUUACCAGGCAUGGGCUUAUUGUGGGAUACAUAGUCUCAUUUAGAGAGAUACAAAGUGUAGAGCGCAGGAUAGCAUGAUCCCUUAAGUUGACAGUCCCCUGUGACUACAUGGUAAAUCUCUCUCCCUAUAUUCAGCAUUAUUUUACCCUUUGGAAACUGAACCUGAAACUUUAGUUAUUAAUCCAACAAUUGGAUGUUAGGUGAAUUGGUGAAAACUUAUUCCAUUUAAGUCCCCUCAUCAGCAUGAGAAUUGUUUAUUGUGCUGAUUCACAGGGACUUGGUGCAAUUCCCGACCUACUGUCCAUAUACGAGUAUGGGUCACCUUGGUAGUGAAAUUCAUGGCUAUUUGAUUUCAACCCGAAUUCUGCAUCACAGACAGAUGGAAACAACAUUUCAGCAACGUAUAUGAACAUUGUUUUGUAUAUAUAUAUACAUAAAGGCUCCACAAACAUUUUUAAUCUGUUUAUUUGCUUUUGUUAAUAAACUACCCAUUAGUGUUGACCAGACUUUAAUUUAGGUGGACAGGCAAAUUUUUAAAUUUGUGUUAUAACUUGCUCAAUACUCGGCCAGUUUCCUUAAUUAUGUGAACACUUGUUGGAAAGAAAAAAAUGAUAAUUGUUCUUGUACAGUAUAUAUUGAUGUAUGACACAAAAAAAAAGAAAAAAUAUUUAUUUGGUUUGCUGUUUUGUGGAGUUGCUGCCCCUGAUACAUGCAAUACUUAUAUUGAACAUGAGCUGGGAAGAUGUACCAAGUCCCUGUGUGGGGAUGUUUCUUUUAUGGAGAGCUAAAACUUCAUUAUACAUGUACAUGUAUAUCAAUUUACCUAUAUUUUUCCUUUGUACUUUAUUAGGUUUAAGUGAAUACUGUGCCAAGUUUGUCAACAAAAGCUGAAAGCUUUUAAAAGCUUAAUGGGUAAAUGUUUAUUUAAAUUUAUGACCAUUUUGAAAUUUAUUUUUCUGCAGAAUGGUCAUUAUGAACACUUCUCGUUUUUGAUAUUUGUGCAUCAAAGUUUCUUCAGUCGUGAAAAUAUGGCCUUAUGAAGCAAAUCAUUUUUUUUUUUUGAUAAAUUUUUUUUCCUGUAGAAUUUAAUACUUGGACAGUAAAGUUAGGUUCGGAAGACAUUUUGUACCUUUCUUAAAACAUUGAGAUUUAUUUGUAUCAAGUGUUUUAUUAUAGCUUGAAGUGUAAAAUUAUCAUUAUUAAUUCGAUCAUGCUGAGAAAAAUUUAAAGAUUUACUUCAUGAUUAAUUUCAGUUAAAAUAAGAACUAAUUACCGGGUAUAGUAAUUUAAAAGCAAAUGAUCAAGUUUAAUUUGAAAUUAUCUGAUUGAUUUUCUAAGAUGGAUUAAAUUUGUUCAAUGAUGUCUCUAAGAUUUUGAUCAGAAAAUGGAAGUGGUGUUUUCCACAUCUUUUUGUGUCUUUCCAUUGUCUUGUUGUGUUGAAAAUCAUUCUGAAAUACACAAAGUUUGUGGAAUAUUUCAGGGAUGAAGUAGCCAUCUGGAGAAUGUAUGUGGUAAGAGGACUGUUCAUAGCAGACUUUAUGAAUACUGGUAUCAGUAGGAAUAUUUUCAAGAAAAUAAAAAUUAAGAAAAAAAAAUAAAUAAUAAAAUCCCAGCAAUGAGUAAAAAGUAGCUAAAUUGUAAUACUGUACAAUGUAAUUUGAAUUGUCAAUGAGGUAAAAUGGAAUCACAAAAAAAUCAUCUGUUAUAUUAUCUUGGUAUUAUAACUGUGAUUUGUAGUCUGAACCAAGGGAGGGUUGGGAAUCAACGGAUCGGCUACGUACUAUCAUUUUGAUAAAAAAAUCUAUAUGUAUUGAAAUAUUUGAGGAAUGAAUGUGUUUGUUUAGUGUUCUGUGUACAUGUUAGAACGAACGGGUCCAUUUUUUUCCUUUACAAUGUCUUAGUGUUAAAAUGAGUGAAUGUCUACAGUCUUUGACCUCUUUUUCAUGACCUAUCAUAUCUGAUGUGGGGUGAGAGAGAUGUGGUAAGUUUUUAUCUUAAACUGUAAAGUAAAACCUUGAUAUAAACCACCUCAUUUACAUACAGUCAAACCUUGAUUAACUCCCCUGGUUUACAAACUCCUUUAUAUAAUAACAUCACCUAUUUAUAUAAAAUGAAUAUGCCUUGAUAUACUGCCCCUCAUUUACAUACAAAUCUUGAUUAAUGCCCCUGGUCCCUGGUUUACAAACUCUUUUAUAUAAUAUCACCCAUUUAUAUAAAAUGAAUUUUAUAAUUUUCAUAUAUGCCUCCACCCCCUCCUCUCCCUCUUUGAGUACAAUGAGUAAAUAUACAAUACAUCCUCCAAUAUGACGCCCCUCACAUCACGUGGCCUAAGUUAUGCCCGUAUUUUCCACCUCAUUUAUCUUAACGAUUCAUUGUUGUAUUGUCAGUGGUUUUGCUGGUAGAGAGGCGACCUUAUAACAAGGUUUUACUGAAUAGGAUUCCUGUCUUACUCUCCACAUGAUUUCAUGCUGGUACACCUGUACCUAAAGCAAGUGUGUGUGAUAAAAAAUUGGUUUAGAAAUGUAAGUAACAAUAAUUGGUGGACAUAACCUGUAUACACUUCUACACUACUCUACUGUAUAGUUAGAAAUAUUUGCGGGCAUUUAUUUUCGCUGAUAUUUGCGGGGAUUUAUUUUCGCUGUGGUUGCGAUCAUAAAUAGGCAUGUAGUGCGAAAAAAAAAAAACAGUGAAUAGCGGUGAUGCGCGAAAUUUAAUACCUGCGAAAUAGUUUUGAUUGGACAACCACAAAAUAUUUGCCCUGUGAAAUUGAAUAACUAAACAGCAUUCGGUUGUUGCACCCAUUGCCGGAGUUAGUGAUACUGGUAGCAGGGUUACUUCCGAUUUGUAUCAGAACAUGUCUUCAGACUCAUCAGUGAUCAAUCGUAUAAUAAAGAACAAUCCCAUGUUUAUGCUUCCAUAAGCCAUCUCCAUUGCCAAUUAAACCCAUGAUCAAUGCUUUUAGAUUUUGUUUAAAGAUAUGUGACACAGAAAAUGACCAUAUCAUAUUUGAAAUAUGUGAGUAAAUUUUGUAUUUAACAAUGUUUUUGAUUCACAUUUUAUGAGUAUGACAUUUUUUUCUGAUUGAGUACAUGAGAAUCCACUGGAUUUACAAUUUUCAGAAACAACCUUGGAAAAUACAGUGAAUUUGAUGAAAAUGUUUCCCAUGUAUCAAAGCUUAAUAGCAAUUCAAUUCAAGAAAGAAAAGAAAAUUUGACUCAAGAUUGAAAGGUAUUGACAGUUGAGAAGAGUUUAAGAUUCAAUUAAAAAUAAUUAUGGUGCCAUUUAGAUAGUAAAAUUUAUAACGUUUAAUGUAACGUUCACACACUUUAAAAAUAUCAGCUGGGCCAAAAUAUACCUAUCAAGAUUUCAAAUAACCCUUUGAGAAUGGAAUAUGUUGUUUGUUCAAACUUUUUGUUUGUAAAGGAAUUGUCACUGUUUUAACUUUUGUCAAGAAUUGCUCAAUAUGUGUCAAUCAUAGGAUGUGUGGCCAUAAGAAUGAAAUAAAACACUGUCAUUUGA